rnacentral:misc_RNA from 1 species
UGAUCAUCAUCUGCAUUACUCUUUCUCUCUUCCUUCUUUCUUGGGUUAAUUACAAAAAUGGCCCUGGGUUCUUGAUAAUAUAUACUUAUUCCCUAAAUUGUUGUAUUAUAAUCCUUAGUCCCUAAAUUGUUAUAUUAUAAACACUAUAGUCCCUUAGAAAUUUUAUGCUUUUCAAUGAUGAUAUUAUAAAGACUUAAAUUGCCAAUUUUGAAGCAAUAGGGGGAA